UGCGUAGGCGGGGCGUUAAGUCAGUGGUGAAAUCUUGCAGCUCAACUGUAAACUUGCCAUUGAUACUGACGCUCUUGAGUGCGCUUGAAGUAGGCGGAAUGUGUCGUGUAGCGGUGAAAUGCUUAGAUAUGACACAGAACACCGAUUGCGAAGGCAGCUUACUAAGGCGAUACUGACGCUGAGGCACGAAAGCGUGGGGAUCAAACAGGAUUAGAUACCCUGGUAGUCC
rnacentral:rRNA from 1 species